UCACUACUCACUAGUUUUCAACUUCUCUUGCGGUUUGGAAAUUUAGCAGGAUAGCAGUUCUUCGCACAGGGACAGAAGCAGGGAUUCAAGUUUGGGUGGGCAAAUAUUCAAUAGAGUUUUGUAACUUUUGGAGAGAUGAAUUUUUACUACUACAAAUUGUAAAAAUGCUUUUAAAAAGAUUGUCAUAAAUAUUUUUGAUGAACCUGUUCAAUUUCUAAGAUAUGAUCAUCUACAACUAUAAAUGCAUACAAUCUUGUGCAUCCCUAUCCAUCUUGAAAUGAAAAAUAAUAUUACAAAAAAUAAAGUGUUGCUAAAAAUAAUAAUGUUUUUAGAAAACCUCUUGGUUGGGUGGGUGUUGGAUUUUUCAAAACGAUGUUCAAUGGGUAAACUUACAUAAUUUUUGAAGUUUUUGAAAAACAAGCUACUACUAUAAUCCUAGUAAAUAUUUGGAACGUUGGUGGGGCGGUCGCCCGACUCAUCCGCCCCUCAAUCCGUCCUUGUCUUCGCAUCCAUGCAUGGUUCUCCAGGUGCAUGAAGUUAGAAUCAAACUCUUGGGUACAUCCAAGAGGAGUGUGUGUUGUAGGGGAUUAUUCCCCCUUGAUAUGUAAGUGCAGUGUGUGCACUGUGGUGUGUGGGCUGAGACAGAGAGAGGGUGAGCGAGAGUGUGAGCUGGUUGAGGCUCCUCCAACGGGGGGGAGCAGGGCUCCUCAGAGAUGCCCGGAGAGACUGUCAAAGAGCCACCGGAGUGAGGGAGAGAGAGAGGAGUGAUGGCAGCCGGGGAGGUUUUUUCAUGUAAAUUGUAUUUGUUUUGUGAAUAAUACAAUUACGGAGUUUUUCCUCAAAUAUCUCUCAUUUGUGCUUGGUUUGUUUACGUGCUUGUGCUUGGGGUGCGGAUUUGGGGGUUGGGGUCUCGACCCAACAGUUGUGUCAGAGCUGCGGUUGCAGAUUGGGAGGUCACCGGAGAAGCACAACACUUUUCGAAAAAGCAUGGAGCACCUCUCUUGCUAGGUUCUCGGUUGAGCCGUCUGAAAACUCAAUCGGACUAGUAAGGCUUGUGCACCUCAUUGAGACGAGUCUAUAGGAGGUGACGGGGUCGAGUUUCGUCACCGGAUGAAGGCUCGGGAGCCAUUCGAUCACAGCAGGCGGAGGCGGCGACGGCGGAGAGGCUGUUUUGAAAAGCCCGAGGUCGUGGAUGAUUGAAGACGAGUUUUGAGCAAUGGGUUGUAUUCACCUCGAGGAGACGAUCACGGAUUGGGGUAGCAUGUCGCCGGAGGAGCUCGGAGGUGGCGGCAAUGGCCAGUCGAAGGCAGCGGCGAGGCGACGAGGUACGUUUUUGAAAAGCCCGUACUCAUAGUUACUUGGAUUGAAGUUUGGAGCACAGGGUUAGAUGCGUCUUGAAGAGACGAUCUCGAGGGUGCUUGGAAUGUCGCCGGAGGACACCGGAAAUGGCCUCACGUGCCGGCCAAAGGUGGCGCGUGCGGGGCGAGUGAGAUCUAGUCUCACGUGUGUGCUGCACACGCUGGGAGCUUAGACGGAAAAAAGAGAGAGUAGAAAGCAUGCGUGAAGGGUCUGUGGGCACGCGUAAGAGGUUUUGGAUAAAGAGAAUGGAAAAUUAUCCCAUGUUGCAAGUUCCCUUGGAGUAGGCCACGUCAUUGUGUCAAAGUACAGUCCACACAGGUUAGAUUUGUUUUCGCGAUUUCGGAGCCGAUACUACUCUGUUUUUUGCUUAUGAGUAGUCAAUUUUGACUAUCUCAACAUUCCGGAUCCAACCGUGCGCUCCAUUUUCUGAUUGGAGGCUCCUAGGUACGUGCGAUUGCGCUAGUUGAGCAGGAAUCAGGUGUUUGAAGGCUGGUUUAGGGUUGGAAAAUGCGAGGAUGUUCUGUGGCGAUCUGUUAUGAGCUAGCAAGCAAGGAGACUUUACAUUCGAGCUUAGUAUCCCGGUUGGGGUGUUGGAUUGCUCGUCUGGUAAUUGACACAGGCGCUUGCUAUAAGUAAUAGUUCGGUUUGGAGAUGCUGGGAAGCCAGGAAUUGGAACGGGAAUGGAUGAGUGGCAGAGAAAAGAUCCGGAAAGAGCUGAUGGUGGGUGGCAAGAGGCUCGGGAAAGUGGCGGAAAAGGACGAUUGAUAGAGCAGACUUGUAGGGAUCAGAGGUUGAUCAGGGCAAACAUGCGCGGAGCUAGUGAGCAAGGAGACACUCACUUGAGUAUUGUAUCCCGGUUGGGGGUGCAGAUGAGCUUGGGUUGGCAGUGACACAGAUGCUCACUAUAGCGAUGGUUUGCGGAUAUGAUUGAUGAUGAUCGGAGGCAGUCUAGUUCAAUCGGAAGACCUAUCAUCGGGAGUUGCAGUUGUGAUUUGGGAUGCAUGAGGAGAAUGAUAAGAUCAUGGAUUAUGUUUUGUGAUUAGGCACGGGUGUUCGAGAUCAGACACAGCUACCGAGCACAUCAAGGAUACAUUUAGGGGAAUGACACAGGCGCUGUGAACGGAUGGUGGUGGCAGUAGAAGCGGUGCUACUUCAAUGAUUGAUCCGGUGAAUAGGUAAGUCCCUGAUGACUAAACGUUUACGCGGUGAGGGGGUGUGAGGCACUCCGGUUGAGGGGGUGUAGGUUUAGCCACGACAAAUCUAGUCUUGCAAGGAGACACUCGGUCAGUUGGUAUAUACACUUCCAGUGCUAGGGUGGUGAGACUUCUGAUGGUUAGUAGUGACACAGGCGCUUGGCUAGAUUAGAGUGGUUGAACGGAUCAACAAUUGUCCCACUUGGGUGUAGGGGGUGAUUCUUGGGUACACCCAAGAGAAGUGUGUGUUGUAGGGGAUUAUUCCCCCUUGAUAUGUAAGUGCAGUGUGUGCACUGUGGUGUGUGGGCUGAGACAGAGAGAGGGUGAGGGAGAGUGUGAGCCGGUUGAGGCUCCCCUAACGGGGGGAGCGGGGCUCCUCGAAGAUGCCCGGAGAGACUGUCAGAGAGCCAC